rfam:Triticum urartu cultivar G1812 contig822892, whole genome shotgun sequence.
CAAGUACUCCCUCCGUCCGAAAAUAUUUGUCAUUAAAAUAGAUAAAAAUGAUGUAUUUAGAACUAAAAUACAUCUAUAUACAUCUUCUUUUAUUCAUUUUGAUGAUAGAUAUUUCCGGACGGAGGGAAUAUUUU